rnacentral:rRNA from 1 species
UACAGAGGUCUCAAGCGUUGUUCGGAUUCAUUGGGCGUAAAGGGUGCGUAGGCGGCGCGGUAAGUCGGGUGUGAAAUCUCGGGCUUAACUCCGAAACUGCAUUCGAUACUGCCGUGCUUGAGGACUGGAGAGGAGACUGGAAUUUACGGUGUAGCGGUGAAAUGCGUAGAUAUCGUAAGGAAGACCAGUGGCGAAGGCGGGUCUCUGGACAGUUCCUGACGCUGAGGCACGAAGGCCAGGGGGAGCAAACGGG